rnacentral:rRNA from 1 species
UACGUAGGAUGCAAGUGUUAUCCGGAAUCACUGGGCGUAAAGCGUCUGUAGGUGGUUCGAAAAGUCCACUGUUAAAAAUUGAGGCUUAACUUCAAAGAUGCCGUGGAAACUUUCAAACUAGAGUAUGGUAGGGGUAGAGGGAAUUUCCAGUGGAGCGGUGAAAUGCGCAGAUAUCAGGAGGAACACCGAUGGCGAAGGCAGGUCUCUGGGCUGACACUGACGCUCAUGCACGAAAGCGUGGGGAGCAAACAGG